rnacentral:lncRNA from 1 species
GGCCGCUUCUGCGCGGCGCCCACCGCGCUGCCAGAGGCUCCCCCGCCGCUCGCCGUCGUCCGGGCGCGCGUCGCUCUUUCCCGCGCCUUUCCCGGGGCCCACGCGCGGUUCCUGCCGCCCCGGGACGGCGGUGCCUCCGCGAGGACCGCGCAGAUGGGGCAAGUCUGCAGGGCCGAGGCGAGGUCGGUUUGCCGGCAGCGUGGAAGGGAGAGCAGCUGGGGAGAGGAAGGAGGGGCUGAAGGCUGUGGUGCGAUCGCGCGUUCCCUCGGCAGGGGGAAUCGUGCAGAAACGUGAAACUGUUGUUGGAGAAGACGGUGGAUCUGAAUCUGACAUGCRUAUGGAGCAGGAUGGAACUGGGCUUACACAGACACAUUUCAAGGUAGAACUGCCUCUUGGGCUGCUGAUGCCUUUGACAACAUCCCCAAAGCAGCUGGAAGGAGGAACGAGCUGGGUUGCCAGCAUCCACGUCGUGAAGGGAAAGGAAACAGUCUUCCUGCUCUGACUGUUCUCAGUGUUCUCAGUGGACACCAGGCUGUUUCUAAUGCUGUGUAUUAUGCAUAUUGUGUCGGAUUAUGUAAAAGCUCUUUGUUAAUCCUCCCAGUUGAGGGCAAAGGCCUCAGCCAGGCCAGAYGAGUUUGGGAGGUGAAUACGCAACUGCACAGAUGGCAGCAACAGAGCUUUGGCCUCCGUGAGCGGGAGACCACGUCCCAGGCAGGAGGAUGAGACCAGUAAUGGGGGUUUAAUGCUCUAGGUACGUGAUGGCGAUGUGGUAGGAGGGGUCGCAGCCAUGCCCGGGUGCUGCUGGGGAUCCCCAGCAGUGCUCGCGAGGGCAGGGACCACCUCRGGUUUGCUCCAGCAGCAGUGGGGCAACUGGCAGAGCAUUCUCCCAGGCAAGGUGAACUCAAUGAAAUAAAGUCACUGCUCUAAGAAAAAGAAGGAGCA